rnacentral:rRNA from 1 species
UAGGGAAUAUUGCUCAAUGGGCGAAAGCCUGAAGCAGCAACACCGCGUGUGCGAUGAAGGCCUUCGGGUCGUAAAGCACUUUUCUGGGAGAUGAGGAAGGACAGUAUCUCAGGAAUAAGUCUCGGCUAACUACGUGCCAGCAGCCGCGGUAAAACGUAGGAGGCAAGCGUUAUCCGGAUUCACUGGGCGUAAAGCGCGUGCAGGCGGUUCGGUAAGUUGGGCGUGAAAUCUCCCGGCUCAACUGGGAGAGGUCGUUCAAUACUACCGGACUUGAGAGCAGAAGAGGAAAGUGGAAUUCCCGGUGUAGUGGUGAAAUGCGUAGAUAUCGGGAGGAACACCAGUGGCGAAGGCGACUUUCUGGUCUGUUUCUGACGCUCAGACGCGACAGCUAGGGUAGUAAACGGGAUUAGAGACCCCGGUAAUCCUAGCCGUAAACGAUGUAAACUUGGUGUCGGUGGCCUAAACACUAUCGGUACCGCAGCCAACGCGAUAAGUUUACCGCCUGGGGACUACGAUCGCAAGAUUA